UAAUAGUGUAUAUUAAAGUUGUUGCAGUUAAAAAGCUCGUAGUUGAACUUUGGGUCAGCGCUACAGGUCUAGUCGAUUUCGUAUCGGCAUGAAUUUGUUUCGCUGAUCUUCUGUCUGGGAAGUGUGUCUGCCGUGUUAGCGGUUGGGCAUAGUUACCAGGCCGUUUACCUUGAAGAAAUUGGAGUGUUUAAGGCAAGCGAUUGCGUCUGAACAUAUUAGCAUGGAAUAAUGAAAUAAGGCUUUGGUCUUGUUUUGUUGGUUUCCGAGACCACAGUAAUGAUUAAUAGGGAUAGUUGGGGGCAUUAGUAUUUGAUAGUCAGAGGUGAAAUUCUUAGAUUUAUCAAAGACUAACAACUGCGAAAGCAUUUGCCAAGGAUGUUCCCAUUAA
rnacentral:rRNA from 1 species